rnacentral:rRNA from 1 species
GAUUAAGUUAUUAAGGGCGCACGGUGGAUGCCUUGGCACUAGAAGCCGAUGAAGGACGUUACUAACGACGAUAUGCUUUGGGGAGCUGUAAGUAAGCUUUGAUCCAGAGAUUUCCGAAUGGGGAAACCCAGCAUGAGUUAUGUCAUGUUAUCGAUAUGUGAAUACAUAGCAUAUUAGAAGGCACACCCGGAGAACUGAAACAUCUUAGUACCCGGAGGAAGAGAAAGAAAAUUCGAUUCCCUUAGUAGCGGCGAGCGAAACGGGAAGAGCCCAAACCAACAAGCUUGCUUGUUGGGGUUGUAGGACACUCUAUACGGAGUUACAAAGGACGACAUUAGACGAAUCAUCUGGAAAGAUGAAUCAAAGAAGGUAAUAAUCCUGUAGUCGAAAAUGUUGUCUCUCUUGAGUGGAUCCUGAGUACGACGGAGCACGUGAAAUUCCGUCGGAAUCUGGGAGGACCAUCUCCUAAGGCUAAAUACUCUCUAGUGACCGAUAGUGAACCAGUACCGUGAGGGAAAGGUGAAAAGCACCCCGGAAGGGGAGUGAAAUAGAACCUGAAACCGUGUGCUUACAAGUAGUCAGAGCCCGUUAAUGGGUGAUGGCGUGCCUUUU